GACGAACGCUGGCGGCGUGCUUAACACAUGCAAGUCGAACGGACAGACGAUGCUUUUGUGGCGUGCUCGAGUGGCGAACGGGGGAGUAACACGUGAGUAUCAUGUCCUUGUAUUUGGGAUAACUUCUGGAGACUGGGGCUAUUACAGGAUAGGAGAUACUGCUGCGUGGUGGGGGUUGGAGAGAUUUGGCGGUUGGGGAUGGUCUGGCGGCUUAUCGGCUUGUUGGUGGGGUAGUGGAUUACCAAGGCUGUGACGGGUAGCCGGCCUGAGAGGGUGACCGGCCACAUUGGGACUGAGAGACGGCGCAGACGCGUACGGGAGGCAGCAGGGGGGAGUAUUGCACAGUGGGCGGGAGCGUGAGGCGGCGACGCCGCGUUCGGGAUGACGUCUUACGGGUGGUGAACCGCUGUCUCCGGUGACGUGGCGGGAGUGACGGUAAUGGGUAAAGAAGCACCGGCUAACUACGUG
rnacentral:rRNA from 1 species